rnacentral:rRNA from 1 species
CAGCACUAAGUCACUUUGUCUUUAUGGCAAAUGUGAGAUGCAGUGUAUGGAAUGUCAAAUUUCUAGUAUGAGAAAUUAACGAUUUAAGUCCUUCUUAAAUGAGGCCAUUUACCCAUAGAGGGUGCCAGGCCCGUAUAACGUUAAUGAUUACUAGAUGGCAUUUCCAAAGAGUCGUGUUGCUUGAUAGUGCAGCACUAAGUGGGUGGUAAACUCCAUCUAAAACUAAAUAUAACCAUGAGACCGAUAGUAAACAAGUACCGUGAGGGAAAGUUGAAAAGAACUCUGAAUAGAGAGUUAAAUAGUACGUGAAACUGCUUAGAGGUUAAGCCCGAUGAACCUGAAUAUCCAUUAUAGAAAAUUCAUCAUUAUGAUUUUAAUAUUAAUAAUAUUAUAAUAAUGGUGUGCAUUUUUUCUAUAACGGACAUUGUAAUCUAUUAACAUAAAUAUAUUUAUCAUAAGAUCAAUGAUGCGUAAGUUUAUUCAAAUUAUUUUGCUUGCAAUUUAACAUAGAAUAAAUGCUCUUGAUUUGAUAAAGUGUUGAUAGAUUUAUUGUAUAUAGUGCUUAAAUAUUUAUAUUUUAUAAUAGCAUAUUAAUCAUUGAUUUUUAUGUUUAUUAUAUGCACUUAUAUGAUUAACAAUGCGAAAGAUUCAGGAUACCUUCGGGACCCGUCUUGAAACACGGACCAAGGAGUCUAACAUAUUUGCAAGUUAUUGGGUAUCAAAACCUAAUAGCGAAAUUAACAUAACUUUAAUGGGAUUAGUUUUUAGAUUAUUUAUAGUCUAUUAAUUCAAUCCCGGGGCGUUCUAUAUAGUUAUGUAUAAUAAUAUUUAUAUUAUUUAUACCUCUAACUAGAGCGUACCUUGAGCAUAUAUGCUGUGACCCGAAAGAUGGUGAACUAUACUUGAUCAGGUUGAAGUCAGGGGAAACCCUGAUGGAAGACCGAAACAGUUCUGACGUGCAAAUCGAUUGUCAGAAUUGAGUAUAGGGGCGAAAGACCAAUCGAACCAUCUAGUAGCU